CUGCCCAAUGAGGUUUUAAAUGGCCGCGGUAUUUUGACCGUGCAAAGGUAGCAUAAUCAUUAGUUUUUUAAUUGAAAGCUGGUAUGAAAGGUUGGAUGAGAAAAUAACUGUCUCUAUUUAAAUUUUAAAGAAUUUUAUUUUUAAGUAAAAAAGCUUAAAUGUUGAUAGAAGACGAGAAGACCCUAUAGAGUUUUAUUAUUUUUUUAAAGUAAAUUUUUAGGAUUAAAAUAAUUGAUUUUAAAAAAAUAAUUUAGUUGGGGUGAUUGAAAAAUUAAAUAAACUUUUUUUUUAUUUAAACAUUGAUUUAUGAAUAAUUGAUCCUUAGUUUAAGAUUAAAAGAUAAAAUUACCUUAGGGAUAACAGCGUAAUUUUUCUAAAGAGUUCAAAUCGAAAGAAAAGAUUGCGACCUCGAUGUUGGAUUAAAAUAAAAUUUUGGUGUAGGAGCUAAGAAUUUUGGGUCUGUUCGACCCUUAAAAUUUUACAUGAUCUGAGUUUAAACCGGUGU
rnacentral:rRNA from 1 species